rnacentral:lncRNA from 1 species
UCAUACAGCUAGAUAACCAAAGAUAACAACUCGCUUCCCUCACAGCCUCUGUCUUCUUCAGGCCAGACUCUAGAUCCGGAUCUUUCUGGCAGUACCGAAGAGUAGUCCUCCAAGAUACUGGCCGAGCCCAAGAUUCCUCCUUGUAUGUAAAUUUGACCUGGUUUCUGUUUGUGUGUGCGGCUAAAACAUCCAAACGAGAGCCGUUGCUUUCAAAGUUUAUUCCGAACUUUUUUUUUUCCUUUCAGCAAGUAAUCUCCGGCAGCGUUAGGCAACAAUUCAUCUAUUAAUAUCAGAAAAUAAAACCAGCUAUUAAGGUGCAGCAAGCGGUUACGAGUGAGCAGCAGCAUCCGUCCCUCCACAGGCCUCUAUUUGCAUUGUAAAUUGCUUCAUUCUCACGCCAGACUCUUUAGCCUCCCUCUAUAGAGAUGUAUAAAGCCAACGGCAAUUUCCAGCGCAGGUUUAGGAGGAAGGAAAAAAUAUAUACAAAAAACAUCCCAUUCUAUAGAAGAAGAGACAGCUGAUUCAAGGACCUGCUCCGGAUCCUUUUGGGUUAGGCACCAUGAGCUUUUUAACCAAGCGGUGGCAGCUUGAUUGCAUAUAUCUUGUGUGUGUGUGUUUUAGGGGGGAAGAUCCUCGAUUUCACCGGGCUUCUAGGCUGGGGAGGAGAAGAUGCCGUCCUGUAGGCGUGCUGCUGCCCCGGGUCUGAAAGAAGGAGAAAAGGGCCAUCAUUGGAGGGGCUUUCACUGCCAAAAUGUGGACCAGCCCGGCAAGGUCAAAGGUUCGAGACCGCAGGAGACCAAGCUUGGAAGAAAGAGGAACUCUUAAGAAAAACAUUAGGGAUUUGAACAUUGUAACCUGCCAUACAAAAGAGGAGGGAGAGUUCUUUCAUGUAAGAAUUUUAAGACUGGAACAAAGUCAUAUUUUUUAAAUGUUUAAAGCACUGAAUUUCCAGGCCUUUCAAACAAUGGGAAUCCCUGGAUAAAUAUCUAAUCCAUUAGAAAGAUGCAAAUAGUUUACUGUAAGGCCACAGCACGGUGAGAUGUGCAUUCAUAUCCAUGGCUUCUGAUUGG